AGACCCGAAACCCGGUGAUCUAGCCAUGGGCAGGUUGAAGGUUGGGUAACACUAACUGGAGGACCGAACCGACUAAUGUUGAAAAAUUAGCGGAUGACCUGUGGCUGGGGGUGAAAGGCCAAUCAAACCGGGAGAUAGCUGGUUCUCCCCGAAAGCUAUUUAGGUAGCGCCUCGUGAAUUCAUCUCCGGGGGUAGAGCACUGUUUCGGCUAGGGGGCCAUCCCGGCUUACCAACCCGAUGCAAACUGCGAAUACCGGAGAAUGUUAUCACGGGAGACACACGGCGGGUGCUAACGUCCGUCGUGAAGAGGGAAACAACCCAGACCGCCAGCUAAGGUCCCAAAGUCAUGGUUAAGUGGGAAACGAUGUGGGAAGGCCCAGACAGCCAGGAUGUUGGCUUAGAAGCAGCCAUCAUUUAAAGAAAGCGUAAUAGCUCACUGGUCGAGUCGGCCUGCGCGGAAGAUGUAACGGGGCUAAACCAUGCACCGAAGCUGCGGCAGCGAACGUAUCACCCAAGACAACUUUACGGAGUUGACGAUUGACGGAGCGAAGCGACGUCAAAGCGUUCAUUAAAGUCGAGUUGGCUUAGGGAUACGUUCGUUGGGUAGGGGAGCGUUCUGUAAGCCUGUGAAGGUGUGUCGUGAGGCAUGCUGGAGGUAUCAGAAGUGCGAAUGCUGACAUAAGUAACGAUAAAGCGGGUGAAAAGCCCGCUCGCCGGAAGACCAAGGGUUCCUGUCCAACGUUAAUCGGGGCAGGGUGAGUCGACCCCUAAGGCGAGGCCGAAAGGCGUAGUCGAUGGGAAACGGGUUAAUAUUCCCGUACUUGGUGUUACUGCGAAGGGGGGACGGAGAAGGCUAUGUUGGCCGGGCGACGGUUGUCCCGGUUUAAGCGUGUAGGUGUGUGUUCCAGGUAAAUCCGGUUCACUUUAACACUGAGGCGUGACGACGAGGCACUACGGUGCUGAAGCAACAAAUGCCCUGCUUCCAGGAAAAGCCUCUAAGCAUCAGGUAACACGAAAUCGUACCCCAAACCGACACAGGUGGUCAGGUAGAGAAUACCAAGGCGCU
rnacentral:rRNA from 1 species